rnacentral:lncRNA from 1 species
CCUGCCUUUGUUCCUCCUGUGAGCACCUGCAGGCUUGAGCCCUGAUCCCAAAAGACACAGUGCUAAACUCCAUAGUUCCAAAUGUUGAAAUCCCAAAACAGCAAAAUCUUUAAAGUCUCUAAAAUCACCAGUCUGAAAGAUGUAAAUCCUGAAAAUAUAAUCCUGUAAAAAAUAAUUUAAAAAUUAUUUCAAAGACAUAUAUUUUCAGAGGGGGAUUUAUUGGAGAAACAUAAAAGCCUGACAGGACACUUGGUGGCGACUUACCGGAUAAAGCAAUCAGUCACAAUGUAGGUGAUUACGCAAGCACGAGCACUCAGCUCUGCUACUGACGGUUACAUGGGUUUUUCAGUUAGGAGCAGAUGAACCGAAUUCAUAAAGACAUGUCAAAACAUGGCCCUGUGGUUGGUAAUUGUGUAUGCCCAGCUUUAUAGCUUCAGUCAUCUGGGAGCCAGGUGUGGUGGCCACACUUGUGAUCCAGCUACUCAGGAAGCUGAGGCAGGAGGACCCCAAGUUCCAGGCUAGCCUGUGCAACUUAGCAAGGCCCUGUCUCAAAGUAAAAAGUGCUGGGUUGCGGCUCAGCGAUGGAGCACUUGCCUAGCAUGUACGAGGCCCUGGGUUCCAUCCCCAGGACAGCAAGAAAAUGACAAAAAUCCUGUGGUCAUCGGAAAUAUGGUGAUGGACAACCUGUUUUGCUGCAAUGGGUCACCACUGCACAGAGGGACCCCGGCAAGCUAGCUCUCGGGAAAUUUUCUCUCACACAAGUGGACGUUGCCAAAGGUGCUGUUUGAACCUCUUUACCUGCAUGCAAGAAGCUCAGGCACAGGCCAGCGUGGAGUGAGGCUCUCUGCUGGAGUCACAGUGGCACGAGGUACACAAAGCCAAUCGGAAUUCAGGAGUCUCAAGGGCUUUCUGUUCAGGACCCCGACACGAAUGCAGAUGAAAUGCAUCUCAUAGCAAACUGCAAAAAAUAAUGCCGGCAAUUUAAAAUAGCG